CUAGCGACUUCAGAGUUUGAUCCUGGCUCAGGAUGAACGCUAGCUACAGGCUUAACACAUGCAAGUCGAGGGGCAGCACGGUGUAGCAAUACACGGGUGGCGACCGGCGCACGGGUGCGUAACGCGUAUCCAACUUUCCCGUUACUCUCGGAUAGCCUUCCGAAAGGGAGAUUAAUACGAGAUGGUGUUCAGUUUCCGCAUGUUUACUGAACUAAAGAUUCAUCGGUAACGGAUAGGGAUGCGUGACAUUAGAUAGUUGGCGGGGUAACGGCCCACCAAGUCAACGAUGUCUAGGGGUUCUGAGAGGAAGGUCCCCCACACUGGAACUGAGACACGGUCCAG
rnacentral:rRNA from 1 species